UGGAACCCUUCUCUUGGGUGAUCUAUGGUUUUAUAUACUGAACGCAAUAGAAACUUCAUUCGAAAAUCCAGCACUGUUUCAUCAGGCCAUUCAAACAUAAACAGUACAGUAUGUGCCAGCCAUUGUGCCAUACAACACCAACAUGAACCUGUACACGAAAAUGGGCACCGUAGACACGUCAGGGCACCAUAGACAAGUCAGCAAGCUGGACACCAUAGACCUGUCCAGAAUCAUUCAUCGGCCUUGUUUAGUCCCCUAAAUAUUUUGCAAAAUUUUUCACAUUCCCAUCACAUCGAAACUUGCGGCAACAUGCAUGGAGCACUAAAUAUAGAUAAAAGAAAUAACUAAUUACAAAGUUUACCUGUAAUUUGCG
rnacentral:lncRNA from 1 species